rnacentral:rRNA from 1 species
UACGGGGUACACGAGUGGCGAACGGGUGAGUAACACGUGGGUGAUCUGCCCUGCACUUCGGGAUAAGCCCGGGAAACUGGGUCUAAUACCGGAUAGGACUGCGCGGUGCAUGCCGUGUGGUGGAAAGAUUUAUCGGUGCAGGAUGGGCCCGCGGCCUAUCAGCUUGUUGGUGGGGUAAUGGCCUACCAAGGCGACGACGGGUAGCCGGCCUGAGAGGGCGACCGGCCACACUGGGACUGAGACACGGCCCAGACUCCUACGGGAGGCAGCAGUGGGGAAUAUUGCACAAUGGGCGCAAGCCUGAUGCAGCGACGCCGCGUGAGGGAUGACGGCCUUCGGGUUGUAAACCUCUUUCAGCAGGGACGAAGCGUGAGUGACGGUACCUGCAGAAGAAGCACCGGCCAACUACGUGCCAGCAGCCGCGGUAAUACGUAGGGUGCAAGCGUUGUCCGGAAUUACUGGGCGUAAAGAGCUCGUAGGCGGUUUGUCGCGUCGUCUGUGAAAACCAGCAGCUCAACUGUUGGCUUGCAGGCGAUACGGGCAGACUUGAGUAUUUCAGGGGAGACUGGAAUUCCUGGUGUAGCGGUGAAAUGCGCAGAUAUCAGGAGGAACACCGGUGGCGAAGGCGGGUCUCUGGGAAAUAACUGACGCUGAGGAGCGAAAGCGUGUGUAGCGAACAGGAUUAGAUACCCUGGGUAGUCCACGCCGUAAACGGUGGGCGCUAGGGUGUGGGUUUCCCUUACAUCGGGAUCCGUGCACGUAGCUAACGGCAUUAAGCGCCCCUGCCCUGGGAGAAGUACUGGACCGCAAGGCUAAAACUCAAAGGAAAUU